CCUACGGGAGGCAGCAGUGAGGAAUAUUGGUCAAUGGCCGGAAGUCUGAACCAGCCAAGCCGCGUGAAGGACGAAGGUGCCAAGCAUUGUAAACUUCUUUUCUGAGGGACGAAGAAAGUGACGUUACCUCAGGAAUAAGCCACGGCUAACUACGUGCCAGCAGCCGCGGUAAUACGUAGGUGGCAAGCGUUAUCCGGAUUUAUUGGGUGUAAAGGGCGUGGAGGCGGGAAAGCAAGUCAGAUGUGAAAACCACGGGCUCAACCUGUGGCCUGCAUUUGAAACUGUAGUUCUUGAGUACUGGAGAGGCAGACGGAAUGCGUAGUGUAGCGGUGAAAUGCGUAGAUAUUAGGAGGAACACCAGUGGCGAAGGCGGUCUGCCGGACAGCAACUGACGCUGAGGCGCGAAAGCGUGGGGAGCAAACAGGAUUAGAUACCCUUGUAGUC
rnacentral:rRNA from 1 species